GAACAUAUUGCAAAAGUAAUUCCAUAGGAAAUAUAUAGUUAUACUGUCUACAUGAGCAUGAUGAGUAACAAAGCUCAAAAUGUUUGCAAUAUGUCCCCCUGUCUUUCCUGUUCGUUUGUGCUCGUCAGUCGACUUAUCGCGACUUCACCACAAGAUGGCGCCCAGCUGAGAGAUUCUAUGAAGGUACUGCUUGAAUAAACAGUCUUUUUUAAUAAACUUCCUGUGCACUUCCAAAGUUCUAAGUAUAAUAUGAAAUGCACGGAUAACAAUAGUGUGCUUUUGCAAGCACACUAAUAAUAAUAUGAAACGCACGGAUAACAAUAGUGUGCUUUGCUUGCAGCAAGCACACUAACAAGCACACUGCUGUACAGGACUCAUAUCAUGUACAGUAAUAGAGCCUUGAAUUUCUCUGUGGAUACAAGUCUGUUAAGUCUCAACACCUCCUGCAAGUGGUUCCAUUUGAUUGGUCCAAAAGACUGAAAAGCUAAUUUGCCAAUCUCAGUUCUCACUCGAGGAGUUUCUAGGGUAAUAAAACUUUGUGAUCUUGUACUAUGUCUGCCAUGUCUAAUUUUUAAAAGUGAAGUAAGGUAAGAAGGUAAUUUACCUUGUAAUGCCUUGUACUGUAGAUAAAUAGGAGGCAAUGUCUUUCCCUCCUCUCAUACAGAGAAGACCAUCCUAUAUUCUUAUACAGUUUACAGUGAUGAGUUUUAAAAGCAUCACCUGUGACAAAACGUAUAGCACUAUGGUAAAUAUUAUUUACAGCAAUUACCAUUUUAUUUGACCCUUAAAUGCAUUUACUGUAUGUUCCCUAAAUGGUACACAAAUUGAACAAGUUGCCCAAUACAAAUAUCUUGGAUUUUGGCUUGAUAAUAAGCUGUCUUUUAAAACACAUGUGCUUGAGCUCACAAAGAAGGUUAAAGCUAAGCUAGGUGCCCUAUAUAGGAUCAGGUCUUGCCUUUCCCUUGAGAGCAGAAAGACCGUUGUUCAAUCAACCAUUCUGUCAGUCCUAGACUAUGGCGAUAUUCUCUAUAUGCAUACAGCGCCUUCCACCUUGAAAGCUCUUGACAAAGUUUACGAUAGUGCUAUACGUUUUGUCACAGGUGAUGCCGGCGUACUUACCGAAGCAAUACAUGUUUAGGAUUUACUUAUUGUCACAUUUUACCAUCAAACUAACUACUACAAAAACUUUAACCACUGUGUAAUUGUGCCAUAAUACUUAGAAGUUACUAUAAUUCAGUCCUUCAUAGCACCAUCAUGUUGGCAUAAUUACAGAAAUAUUAUGUCACAAUAAGUAAAUCCUAAAUAUUUAUUGCUUCAGUAAGUACAUUAUUUACAGCAGUUAUUACCAUUUUAUUUUACCCAAGUUAUUUGCAUUGUUUUUGUAUGCACAGUAAUUGUCUAGAAAUUAGACAUUAAUUAUUUGUAAUAUGUAGUUUAAAAAUAUUAUUACCAUGAAACUGCAUAAUAUUACCAUAACAUUACCCACUUGUUACCGAUCUGUAAUGUAAAGUGUUACCGUAAAGGUAAUUCUAUAAGCACUAGGACUGUUUUGCUUGAUGCUGUAUUGAGGCAUGACCUGAAAAUAAUCUAAAUAUCCAUGUGAUGUUGUUCAAUGUAUAAUGUUGUUGAAUGAAGUUCAGGUGCUAAUUGUGAAGGGUGAUUUGUUAACUUCUCAACAGUUGAAAAUAAUACAAGUGUUAACUUAUUUGAACUUCUACUGAUGAUGUUAAGAGAAGAAAGACUGUAUUGCUUUGCAUGUUUUAGAGUUAUAUGAGCAGAGCAUCUCGUUACGGAUUUCACAAUGGAUCUGAAGUUUAUCUUUUAUUAAAAGGGGAGUCACA